CAGCAGCCGCGGUAAGACGGAGGGUGCUAGCGUUGUUCGGAAUCACUGGGCGUAAAGGGCGCGUAGGCGGCCUGUUAAGUCGGAUGUGAAAGCCCGGGGCUCAACCCCGGAACUGCAUCCGAGACUGGCAGGCUUGAGACCGGGAGAGGAGGGUGGAAUAUCCAGUGUAGAGGUGAAAUUCGUAGAUAUUGGAUGGAACACCGGUGGCGAAAGCGGCUCUCUGGCCCGGAUCUGACGCUGAGGCGCGAAAGCGUGGGGAGCAAACAGGAUUAGAUACCCCCGUAGUCCCUGUCUCUUAUAC
rnacentral:rRNA from 1 species